GUGGGUAUCCGCAGCGAGCGCACCCCUACCCUAUGUUGCCAGCGGAUAACGCCGGGGACUCGUGGGGGACUGCCGGUGAUAAACCGGAGGAAGGUGGGGACGACGUCAAGUCAUCAUGGCCCUUACGCCCAGGGCUACACACGUGCUACAAUGGCCGGAACAAAGGGCUGCCAACCCGCGAGGGUGAGCGAAUCCCAAAAAUCCGGUCUAAGUUCGGAUUGCAGUCUGCAACUCGACUGCAUGAAGUCGGAAUCGCUAGUAAUCGUGUAUCAGCCAUGACACGGUGAAUACGUUCCCGGGCCUUGUACACACCGCCCGUCAAGCCAUGGAAGCCGGGAGUGCCCGAAGUCCGUGAACCCAACACUUUUAGUGAGGGAGCGGCCUAAGGUAAGUUUGGUGACUGGGGCUAAGUCGUAACAAGGUAGCCGUAGGGGAACCUGCGGCUGGAUCACCUCCUUU
rnacentral:rRNA from 1 species